GACAGAGGGUGCAAACGUUGCUCGGAAUUACUGGGCGUAAAGCGCGUGUAGGCGGUUCGAUAAGUCUGCUGUGAAAGUCCAGGGCUCAACCCUGGGAUGCCGGUGGAUACUGUCGGGCUAGAGUACGGAAGAGGCGAGUGGAAUUCCCGGUGUAGCGGUGAAAUGCGCAGAUAUCGGGAGGAACACCAAUUGCGAAGGCAGCUCGCUGGGACGUUACUGACGCUGAGACGCGAAAGCGUGGGGAGCAAACAGG
rnacentral:rRNA from 1 species